GACAGAGGGUGCAAACGUUGUUCGGAAUUACUGGGCGUAAAGCGUGCGCAGGCGGUUCGUUAAGUUCGUUGUGAAAGCCCCGGGCUCAACCUGGGAACUGCAUUUGAAACUGGCGGGCUUGAGUGUGGCAGAGGGGGGUGGAAUUCCGCGUGUAGCAGUGAAAUGCGUAGAGAUGCGGAGGAACACCGAUGGCGAAGGCAGCCCCCUGGGCCAACACUGACGCUCAGGCACGAAAGCGUGGGGAGCAAACAGG
rnacentral:rRNA from 1 species